rnacentral:misc_RNA from 1 species
AACUCUUUAGAAAUGCGUCGUUAGGAAGAAAUGAUACCGGCUGUAGUUUUUGUCUUAAAUGCUUUAUUUCAAGAAACGUUAAUACGAAAAUACACCUCUCCGCCGGUUUAUGUCUGAUUUUGUUACUAAGCCCGUCAACUCAGCAUAAUGGAUAAACAGUAUUCUGUGAAAUUUUUCACUUCAUUUGUUGAAGCGAUGCAAAAGUUGUGUCGAGAAUAUUUGGAAUUUGAACAAGGCGUGGAGCUUAGUGGCUACUUGGCUGUUGAGAUUGAUAAUUUUAAGAAGGAAAGAUAUGUGCUGAGUGAAAUGUUACAAAGUAAUGGCAGUGUGAUCAGUGAAAGUUAUUGUACAAAAGCAUUUAAGACUCUUAGAAAAGAAAUCCCCAGAAACAGUGGUGCUCAUGGGAGUGAAAACAUUGCCCCGAGGGAUCACAUGACCAGAACAGGCAGAUCCCAUUCUGAGGAGGUGACCAUAGUAUUACGUGAGAGCCCAGAAACUGUUUUGCAUCGUCCAAGUUAUCCCAUUCAUACAACUACCCCACGAAAACAGAUGUCUAGUCAUAGCCAAAGGCAUGGUUUUCACGCCAACCAAAGGGCCCAGCUGUCUAAUCGACUGAGAGAGAAUUCCUCUGCGUCUGCUACCAACCCAUUUGAUUCAUCACAAACUCACAGCAAGGGGCAGCAGCGGGAAGAAGCUCAACCGUUACAAAUUAUGCCUCGUGCUCUGGAGGCAGAAAUGAAGGACUCUUCCUGGAAUGCAUCAUCUGAAUCCAACAGUCCUCAUGUUGGCUCACCUUCGUCAGUCACCCCACAAUCACCUGCAGCCAUUGGUCAAAAACGGGCAUAUCAAAAUACAGACAGCUCCAACUCACCAGCUCCUGUCAAAAAAGAUAGAGUUGAUGAGAGCUUACAGUCAUUGUUUGAUGCAGCACGAGAAAUAGCAGAAGUGUCUCAAGCCAAUAUAGACUCUAUUAAAAACAAUUAUCCAGGCACAUCGACAACCGCAUUAGCAUCCACAUCCACCACAGCUGCCAGUGCCUCAGCUACAGCAACCUCCAGCUCUACCUCUGUGUCUUUGGAUGAAAGUAUUCGCUUGCCACUGCCUGUAGAAGUUAAACAGGAGAAGGAAGAUGACAUUCCAUACAUGGUGAUAGAUAACCCCUCCGACACGGAGGUGAAGACAUUCCCCGGUGAAGCCAUGUUUGGUGGUGAUCAGAACAGUUCAGCAGUGUAUUCUGGUGACCAGUCUUCUAUGUCACAGAGUGUCUAUGGGGACUCUGUGCAUACAUCUGACUCACCAGGAGGUGCAUCGUGGGACAUGGGCCAACAAGUGUGUGGCCAGAAGUACACCCGGUCUGCGGGGCAGCCAGGCAGGCAUGUCUGUCCUGAAUGUGGGAAACGCUUUGUGUGGCGUUGCCAUAUGUGGAGACACUAUAAAACACUACACCGAGGUUGCAACAUUGCCUGUCCACUUUGUGGGAAAAUAUUUUCUCGAAAAGAUAACAUGGAUCAACAUCUCCGACAUGGUCGAUGUCGAAAACUCAAGCAGAGGGAUAAUUUUUGAGAAUUGUGAUGUUUGAAAUCAUGAAGAAAUUAUUUUGUUUAGUAUUGCAUGGACUACUGUUUCAGUUGUUGUGGACACUGACAUUAAGUUAUGAAAUUAAUGCAUGGCUGUUGUGAGAUUAAAAACCAAAAUUAAGUAAAUACAGUUUUUCUGUGCAGUUCAACUAAUGGGCCCAUUAAAUUGUGCGUUGAUAGUGCGUCUUCGUUCAUGGAAGGAUAUUUACAUGUUCAGAGUGAUACUGUGUACACAUGGAUACAGUUUCUCCUCCCCUCUACAACAUAAAUAUGAAUCGACCAAUUUGACUGCGCUGACCCUGGCACGGCAGUAGCCUCCGGCCUCGGACCUUCACCGGUAUCGUGUGAUGUGUGUCGACAGCAGUUCACAUACACUUACAA